CCUACGGGAGGCAGCAGUAGGGAAUAUUGCUCAAUGGGGGAAACCCUGAAGCAGCAACGCCGCGUGGAGGAUGAAGGUUUUCGGAUUGUAAACUUCUUUUGUUAGAGAAGAUAAUGACGGUAUCUAACGAAUAAGCACCGGCUAACUCGGUGCCAGCAGCCGAGGUAAUACGGAGGAUGCCAGCGUUACUCGGAAUCACUGGGCGUAAAGCGCGCGUAGGCGGGAUAGCAAGUCAGAUGUGAAAUCCUAUGGCUUAACCGUAGAACUGUAUUUGAAACUGGUAGUCUAGAGUAUGGGAGAGGUAGGUGGAAUUCUUGGUGUAGGGGUAAAAUCCGUAGAGAUCAAGAGGAAUUCUCAUUGCGAAGGCAACCUGCUAGAACAUAACUGACGCUGAUGCGCGAAAGCGUGGGGAGCAAACAGGAGUAGAUACCCCUGUAGUC
rnacentral:rRNA from 1 species